rnacentral:tRNA from 1 species
CCUUCGUGAGAGCAGCUGGGUAAGCCGGAAGUCUGCAAAACUUCUGUGAUCGGUUCAAUUCCGAUACGAAGGUCCA